CUUAUUCUCCUUUCUUUUUUUCUCAAAACCAUGAGCUAGUGAAGAGCUUGGAGCUCUUUCCUCUUUUGAAGACAUUACAAGCUUUUGGUGUUUACUUUGGGUAUUUCUUUUAGUACUUAAAUGUUUAAGCACUUAACGGUUCAAGAAAAAAGUUGUAAAAAAAGAAAUCUAGAAAUUUUGGUACCUUAUUCUUGUUGGUGGAUUACAUGUAGAGAAUAUCAAGCUCCUUGUUCUUGCCAUCUACUUGAACACCGCAAAUCCAAGAGGGUCCAAAGGCUACAAAGAAUGUAACAAGAUGGAGCUUGAAGUUCUUAUGAAGACAUGGAGCCUUGUGAAGACCUUGAAGUGUUCUAAUAAGUCCUUUAGGAAAUGAAUUCAUAUUUGUUGUUAUGUCUCACAAUAAAUAUUACUAGAAAAUGGCUUUGUUUAUACAUUUUAAAUGCAUGCUUGUUAUGUUUAUUUUUGUUGUUAUAAAAUGAUGAAAAUAUGUUUUCCGUGCUAAAA